GCAAAACGCGAAGAACCUUACCUACUCUUGACAUCCAGAGAACUUGGCAGAGAUGCUUUGGUGCCUUCGGGAACUCUGAGACAGGUGCUGCAUGGCUGUCGUCAGCUCGUGUUGUGAAAUGUUGGGUUAAGUCCCGCAACGAGCGCAACCCUUAUCCUUUGUUGCCAGCGGUCCGGCCGGGAACUCAAAGGAGACUGCCAGUGAUAAACUGGAGGAAGGUGGGGAUGACGUCAAGUCAUCAUGGCCCUUACGAGUAGGGCUACACACGUGCUACAAUGGCGCAUACAAAGAGAAGCGACCUCGCGAGAGCAAGCGGACCUCAUAAAGUGCGUCGUAGUCCGGAUUGGAGUCUGCAACUCGACUCCAUGAAGUCGGAAUCGCUAGUAAUCGUGGAUCAGAAUGCCACGGUGAAUACGUUCCCGGGUCUUGUACACACCG
rnacentral:rRNA from 1 species